rnacentral:piRNA from 1 species
UUCUGGGUGAAUGGAAGAAGUUUCUGUCU